rnacentral:lncRNA from 1 species
GAGGAAACUAAGGCUUUGAAAAGCAAUUUGCUCGAGGGCACACAAUGCGUAAGGGGCAGGAUCAUCUCCUAGGUUCAGUUCUCUUUCCAUCAUGCCGCGUUGCUCUGCCUUAAGUCUCUUCUGACAGCGGGACACGAGUCAAUGGCGGAUGAUUGCCUCCUCCCUAACUCCUGCCCUUUCCCCUACUCCCUGGACUGCUUGUGCCACUGGCAUUUAUGGGCAGUAUUUAAACAUUCUCGUGGCAUUUGGGACUAGAGAAGGGCCUUAAAGCUACUCUAUCCCCUUGCCUGGAAAACUGGGAACUUGCAAAAGAAAUGAGGGUCAGAGCCAUCACGGGACGCAACACAAGCUCUGGAGCCCCCUGGUGACCAGCAUCAUGAAUUACAUUAUCCUAUGUAUGAAAACGGAUCUCCAAAGGUCAAGGCACAGGAUGGGAUCAGCUAAGGUUGUUAGAGGAGAAGGAGGAAGAGGAGGAGGAAGAAGAAGAAAAGGAAGAGGAGAAGGAACAGGAAGAGGAGGAGAAGGAGGAAAGGGUGAGGGAGAAGGAAGAGGAGGAGGAGGAGGAAGAGAACAGUGACUGGAAAGAUGGGUGGGACCACUUUGAAGAACUAUAAACUCUAAACAAAAGAGUCUAUAUUUAAUCCUAGAUUAAAUUUCACUUAACUCUAUUUGCCUCCGUUUUCUCAUUAUAAAAGGAGCUGGAGAAGGAAACACCAAACCACUCUAGUAUCUUUGCCAAGAAAACCCCAAAUAGGGUCAGGAAAAGUCAGAAACUGCUGAAGUAAUUGAAUAACAAUAAAGUUUACAGGAGAGGGAAAAGACA